GGGAGGCAGCAGUAGGGAAUAUUGGUCAAUGGAGGCAACUCUGAACCAGCCAUGCCGCGUGCAGGAAGACGGUCCUCUGGAUUGUAAACUGCUUUUGAAUGGGAAGAACCCUACCCCUGCGGGGGUAGCUGACGGUACCAUUAGAAUAAGCCACGGCUAACUACGUGCCAGCAGCCGCGGUAAUACGUAGGUGGCAAGCGUUAUCCGGAUUUAUUGGGUUUAAAGGGUGCGUAGGCGGCGAUUUAAGUCGAUGGUGAAAGGUAGCAGCUUAACUGUUUUACAUGCUGUCGAUACUGAAUUGCUUGAGUUACCAAGAGGCAAGUAGAAUUUCCGGUGUAGCGGUGAAAUGCUUAGAUACCGGAAGGAAUACCGAUUGCGAAGGCCACUUGCUAUAGGUAAACUGACGCUGAUGCACGAAAGCGUGGGGAGCGAACAGGAUUAGAUACCCUGGUAGUCCACGCCGUAAACGAUGAUUACUAGUUGUUGGCUUUAUUUAGUCAGUGACCAAGGGAAACCGAUAAGUAAUCCACCUGGGGAGUACGCCGGCAACGGUGAAACUCAAA
rnacentral:rRNA from 1 species